UACGAAGGGGGCUAGCGUUGCUCGGAAUCACUGGGCGUAAAGCGCACGUAGGCGGAUUGUUAAGUCGGGGGUGAAAUCCUGGAGCUCAACUCCAGAACUGCCCUUGAUACUGGCGGUCUCGAGUCCGGGAGAGGUGAGUGGAACUGCGAGUGUAGAGGUGAAAUUCGUAGAUAUUCGCAAGAACACCAGUGGCGAAGGCGGCUCACUGGCCCGGUACUGACGCUGAGGUGCGAAAGCGUGGGGAGCAAACAGG
rnacentral:rRNA from 1 species